rnacentral:lncRNA from 1 species
UCCACUGACAGGAUAUUGAAAUAUCCGUAUUUAACUCCCACUGACAAGAUUCGAUGCAUAAUCAGACUGUGAGAUAAAAUCCAUCUCAAAUCAAAAUAUUUUUUUUAUAUUCUAAUAUGAAAAAGUCAUAAAUCAGAUGACAUCGAAAUCAAUCGAUAUAAUCUAUAAUAAAAUCAAUAUGAUUGAUUAUAAAUCAUUUGAGAUAUCGAAAAAAGGGC